CUGAAGUCAACAAUGCUGAUAUUUGUGUGUGCAGCUGAGAAACGUUUGACUGACUUUGAGUGUGCAGUGGAAGAAGAUCAGCUGAUGUUUCCUUUGGUCUUGAAGUCCUCCACAAACAAACAUGUCACUUUACUGCUUUCUGCUCUUUUCUCACUUUAUAGGUGGAGCAGCCGGAGACAAAAUCUCUCCUGAAGCAGCUGAAGUCAGUGGAAGAGAAGAAGAAUCUGUCAGACUCAAAUGUGUCUACGAGACAGACAGCGAGCACGUUGGUCUCCACUGGUACGAGCAUCAUUCUAACCAGGCGCCUCAGUUUAUCCUCUGGAAAGGAGCGAGGUCACGGAGCCACGGUCAAUACAUUCCUGAUCAUCGAUAUCGAUCCCAAACAUGGAGGACUUCAGCUGAAGUGACCAUCAGAGAUGUAACGGGGGCAGACUCAGCGCUCUACUACUGUGCUCUGGAAACACAGUGAGACAAAGUGUUGAAGAGGUCAUACAAAAAGCUCCACACCGAUACGUGACGACUCUCCAAAGAGCAGGAAGUGGUUUUCAAAGUGCAGGAUUCUGCACCUUCCUGAUUCCAGUCACCGUGGUUACACCUGAUCACCAAACACUGUGGGAGGGGCAUGAAGGGAUGAAAGGAGGAGCCAAAGUGUCAGCCAAGAAAAGACUCAAACUGCACGAGUGCUGUUUCACACCAAAGAGGACUUUGUCUUGAAGAUGAUGUCAGUGCACUUCACUUUGUUUCUGAUCACACUGACAGGUAGGUGACAU